rnacentral:rRNA from 1 species
GACGAACGCUGGCGGCGUGCCUAAUACAUGCAAGUCGAACGAGAGCGACCGGUGCUUGCACUGGUCAAUCUAGUGGCGAACGGGUGAGUAACACGUGGGUAACCUGCCCAUCAGAGGGGGAUAACAUUCGGAAACGGAUGCUAAAACCGCAUAGGUUCUUGAGCUGCAUGGCUCGAGAAGGAAAAGAGGCUUCGGCUUCUGCUGAUGGAUGGACCCGCGGUGCAUUAGCUAGUUGGUGAGGUAACGGCUCACCAAGGCCGUGAUGCAUAGCCGACCUGAGAGGGUGAUCGGCCACAUUGGGACUGAGACACGGCCCAAACUCCUACGGGAGGCAGCAGUAGGGAAUCUUCCGCAAUGGACGCAAGUCUGACGGAGCAACGCCGCGUGAGUGAAGAAGGAUUUCGGUUCGUAAAACUCUGUUGUUAGAGAAGAACAGCGCAUAGAGUAACUGUUAUGCGUGUGACGGAUCUAACCAGAAAGCCACG